ACAGCAGUCGCCGCGGGAAUACGUAGGGUGCAAGCGUUAAUCGGAAUUACUGGGCGUAAAGCGUGCGCAGGCGGUCCGCUAAGACAGAUGUGAAAUCCCCGGGCUUAACCUGGGAACUGCAUUUGUGACUGGCGGGCUAGAGUAUGGCAGAGGGGGGUAGAAUUCCACGUGUAGCAGUGAUAUGCGUAGAGAUGUGGAGGAAUACCGAUGGCGAAAGCGACUUCCUGGUCGAAUACUGACGUUCAUGUGCGAAAGCAUGGGGAGCAAACAGGAUUAGAUACCCGGGUAGUCCCUGUCUCUUAUAC
rnacentral:rRNA from 1 species